GCGAGAGUGGCGGAACUGGUAGACGCACUAGACUUAGAAUCUAGCCCGCUCGUCGGAUGGGGGUUCGAGUCCCCCCUCUCGCA
rnacentral:tRNA from 1 species